rnacentral:rRNA from 1 species
GAUGAACGCUGGCGGCGUGCUUAACACAUGCAAGUCGAACGGGAAACCUUUUAUUGAAGCUUCGGCAGAUUUAGCUGGUUUCUAGUGGCGGACGGGUGAGUAACGCGUGGGUAACCUGCCCUAUACAGGGGGAUAACAACCAGAAAUGGUUGCUAAUACCGCAUAAGCGCACAGGGCCGCAUGGUCCGGUGUGAAAAACUCCGGUGGUAUAGGAUGGACCCGCGUUGGAUUAGCCAGUUGGCAGGGUAACGGCCUACCAAAGCGACGAUCCAUAGCCGGCCGGGGAGGGUGAACGGCCACAUUGGGACUGAGACACGGCCCAGACUCCUACGGGAGGCAGCAGUGGGGAAUAUUGCACAAUGGGGGAAAACCUGAUGCAGCGACGCCGCGUGAAGGAAGAAGUAUCUCGGUAUGUAAACUUCUAUCAGCAGGGAAGAUAGUGACGGUACCUGACUAAGAAGCCCCGGCUAACUACGUG